GGUCGGCAUCCUGACUCGUCUCGCGGUUACUGGGCCAGGGCGAGCGCGCGAGGCUCGGGGGUGGCGCUGGGAGGAGCUUAGUCCAAGUGGGCUCUGCGGGUCUCUGCUCCGCGUCACUGAGAGCGCGGGAUUGAGGUCGUGUUAGGUGAGGAGGUCGCACCGGAAGUGGCAUUGGUCGUGGUGUUUCAGUGUUGUAAGGAGACUGUGGCGGAGUUUUGUUGUUAAGGGGGCGCGGCACAGCACCUCUCCCUCCACCUUCGCUGCAGUAACCAUGGCAAAAGGCAGAGUCGCGGAACGAUCGCAGACAGGGGCACUCCACACGACCCCCGUGGGGGAUAGGGCAGCAGGGACGCGAGGUCCCAUGGCGCCUGGCGGCGGAGACCACCUGAAGGAAAAAGCCUGGGCAGAAGGUGGAUCAGCAAGAAUGUCACUCCUUAUAUUGGUGUCCAUUUUCUUAUCUGCAGCUUUUGUUAUGUUUUUGGUGUAUAAAAAUUUUCCUCAGCUUAGUGAAGAAGAAAGAGUGAAUAUGAAGGUUCCCAGAGAUAUGGAUGAUGCCAAGGCUCUAGGAAAAGUUUUAUCCAAAUAUAAAGACACCUUUUAUGUUCAAGUACUUGUAGCUUACUUUGCUACAUAUAUUUUUUACCAGUUUGCAAACAUUUGCUAUUCCAGGCUCUAUAUUUCUCAGUAUACUCUCAGGAUUUCUUUAUCCCUUUCCACUAGCCUUAUUUCUUGUUUGUUUGUGUUCUGGACUCGGUGCCUCUUUCUGCUAUAUGCUCUCCUAUUUAGUUGGGAGACCAGUUGUGUAUAAAUACCUAACAGAGAAAGCAGUAAAAUGGUCACAGCAGGUUGAACGUCAUAGAGAACAUCUCAUUAACUACAUUAUAUUUUUGAGAAUAACACCAUUUCUGCCUAAUUGGUUUAUUAAUAUCACAUCUCCUGUGAUAAAUGUGCCAUUGAAAGUUUUUUUUAUUGGCACUUUUCUAGGUGUUGCACCUCCCUCUUUUGUAGCAAUUAAGGCAGGAACAACAUUGUAUCAGCUUACAACAGCAGGGGAAGCUGUCUCUUGGAAUUCAGUAUUUAUUCUGAUGAUUUUGGCUGUUCUUUCUAUUCUGCCAGCUAUCUUCCAAAAGAAACUAAAGCAGAAAUUUGAGUAAAAAAAAAUCUGAUUUUUAGUUUUGAUAUCAUCAUCAUCAUCAUCAUCUCAGGAUUAGCAGGUGCAUCCAUUCAUGUUUUAAAAUCACCUCUUCAAUAAUUGAAACAAGGAAUUUGUGAAAUAAAAUUUCCUAUCAGAUAAUAAAAUAAUACAUUUAAAUGGCAAGGGGGAGAAGGAAUAAAAAUGGAAAUUGGUAUACUAUGAAAAGUACUGUCAGUAGUCAAGGUAGAAAUUUUAUAUAGGCCUCUUGUAAAUUAUUAUAUCAAGGGUAGCUAUAAUAGAUAAUAGCAUGGUAGAAAAUUCUUGAUCCAACUGAUUCAUUCAAUUUAAUUUAAUAAUUUUCCUCUCAUCUCUUACUAAUAACUAAAAUAGAUACUUAAAAAUUCUAGAUUUUUAAAAAUAGCAUUGAAGUUUUUGCUAAUGUUAGUCUUUUUUGAGAGCAUAAACUGGAAAACUAAAGCUUAAAAAGAGAUUUACAUUUUCUCCUUCUUUUUACCUUUGAGGUAAUGGAUUUAUUUACAGCUUGCAUCUUUAUAGACCACUGUAUAUGGAAAGGGUAUCAAGUUACCUAUUUUCUGAAUUUUAUUUUUAUUUUUGUGUUCUAGAUUUUUAUCAUGAAUUAGUCUGAAAUUUAAAAUUCUGGCCAGUCUGUUUUCAUCCUUUUUUCUAGUUUUUACAGUAUUUCCACCUUGCAUUUACAAAAGGGGGAUUAUAUAACUAUAUCAUAUUUGGUGUUAAUAAUUUAUAUUCAGAUAAUAUUUUGUUACAGUGCCCCUUUAAUGUCUCCAAAGGGAAUCUGAAAAGCAAACACUCAAAAGUAUGCAGUUUUUAGACAGUAGGUGAAUUAUUUUAUGUUUUGCAACAAACAGUGUCAAUAUAACACUUAAGAGGAUAUAGUUCCAGUGAUUGUAAAAGUUACCUCAUUUAUUUAUUCUGGUCAUUAAGGAAUGUAUUAUGUAAUUCUUUUUAUGCAUGAUACACUUCUAAGAAUGCCCUUUUUUUGUUUUUAUUGAUGGCUUUUUUGUUUGGGGCUGCUUUUGAUUAAUGCAGUCUCCCAAUUUAGUCUUUUUAGUUUUUCUAAUUCACAAAGUAAACUUCUCACAUGGUAACUACUAUAUAUAAGUAGUUCUGGAAAAACUAAACUGCUUUUUGCAGCUUGGUUAAAUGGCAAUGCCCUGAUUCCUUGAUUCUAGGACAUAGCCAAUCUAAAGUACUCUUGUCAGUUUUACCUUCACCCAAGACUGUCAUUACAUUGAAAAGUACUUUAGCUGUGAAAAAUCCUUGUAUGUUUUUAUUGUGAGAGGUAUAAUCAUUCUCAGAGUCUAUUUCUACUACAUAAUGUGGACUGAUUCAUUAUUUUUUCUAUCACAGUAUUAACAAAUGGAUUUAUUGUAAAUACAAAGAAAAUAUAUUGAUUAUUAUAGUAUUCUUGUGUCACCUGGCCUUUUUUGUGUGUGAAGUUAUUUAUUGUUAUUUUUAGCAAGGUUUUCUUCCUUUCUUCUUGACCAGAGACUGAGUGAUAAAGCUUUUGUUAUUUUUACAAAAGAACUUAAAACAUAGCCUUUUGGAACAGAUUCACUAAAUACUACUGUAUAAAAUGUAAUUGAAUAAAUUUUUAUCAGAAUUUUAAAAAUAAAAGUAAAAGCUUGGACUCAG